rnacentral:rRNA from 1 species
UACAGAGGUCCCGAGCGUUGUUCGGAUUCACUGGGCGUAAAGGGUGCGUAGGUGGCGGGGUAAGUCUGAUGUGAAAAUCUCCAAGCUUAACUUUGGAAAUGGCAUUGGAAAACUACUCUGCUCGAGGGGUUGGAGGGGGGGACUGGAAUACUUGGUGUAGCAGUGAAAAUGCGUAGAUAUCAAAGUGGAACACCAGUGGCGAAGGCGAGUCCCCUGGACAACUCCUGACACUGAGGCACGAAAAGCUAGGGGGGAGCAAAAACAGG